rnacentral:tRNA from 1 species
AAGGGUAUAGCUCAGUGGUAGAGUGAAUGCUUAGCAUGCAUGAGGUCCUGGGUUCAAUCCCCAGUACCCCUA